GUGUUAUUGAAGAACACACAAGCACUUCAAGAGGACCACAAAGGUAAAAAUAACAUGCCCAAAACAGCAGCGCAUUCCAUCAGCACUGCAGUCACACUGAUCACAUUUGCUGUUGGUCCAGGAGGAUCCCACAGGAUGCCAGGUCUUAUCUAAGAGGUCCUGACAAUGAGUGGCGCCUAUCAAAGCUCAGAAGUUAGUAACACAUCACAAUAUAAACCGACAUGAACAUAACAGGGCACAACUCUUUGGAUACCUCUUUUCAGCAACGCCGUGAAGCAGGCGGCAUCAUUCAGAGGAACGAGAGCAAACAGCACCAACCCCACGAACACUGACCUCUUCAGCACAGGAACAAAACACAUGUAAACAAACGGAGUUCACGAACACCUCCGCACUCUGUCUGGAGAAUUUUUAUGUUUUAAUGAACUGCAUUGUUCUACUCUUUUUAUUGGUAUGACUAGCAAGACUGCAAUUUUCUUUCCAAUGUGAGAAAAAUCCAGUUUCAUUAAAAUGGAUUAUUUUCACUGA